rnacentral:rRNA from 1 species
UAGGGAAUCUUCCGCAAUGGGCGAAAGCCUGACGGAGCAACGCCGCGUGAGUGAUGAAGGUCUUCGGAUCGUAAAACUCUGUUAUUAGGGAAGAACAAAUGUGUAAGUAACUAUGCACGUCUUGACGGUACCUAAUCAGAAAGCCACGGCUAACUACGUGCCAGCAGCCGCGGUAAUACGUAGGUGGCAAGCGUUAUCCGGACUUAUUGGGCGUAAAGCGCGCGUAGGCGGUUUUUUAAGUCUGAUGUGAAAGCCCACGGCUCAACCGUGGAGGGUCAAUAGAAACUGGAAAACUUGAGUGCAGAAGAGGAAAGUGGAAUUCCAUGUGUAGAGGUGAAAUGCGCAGAGAUAUGGAGGAACACCAGUGGAGAAGGCGACUUUCUGGUCUGUAACUGACGCUGCUGUGCGAAAGCGUGGGGAUCAAACAGG